GUAUCAGAAGCAUUGACUCAUCAGGUAAGUCUCUCCACUGCCAUCGUCCAUAUGGAACACCUCAAACCAUCGCCGGCGAACUCCUCUCCUCUAACCCCACUCGGCUUCUUGGAAAGGGCUGCCACCGUCUAUGGCGAUUGCCUAUCUAUCAUCUACAACACCACCUCUUACACCUGGUCUCACACUCACCGCCGUUGUCUCCAGCUCGCCUCCUCUCUCUCCUCCCUCGGCAUCAAACCCGGCCAAGUCGUCUCCGUCCUCGCUCCCAACAUCCCCGCCAUGUACGAGCUUCAUUUCGCUGUUCCCAUGGCCGGCGCUAUCCUCAACAGCAUCAACACUCGUCUUGACGCCCGUACUGUCUCUAUCCUCCUCCGUCACAGCGAAUCAAAGCUUCUGUUUGUUGACUACUUCUCCAAGUCCUUAGUUCUUGAAGCCGUCUCUCUGUUUCCAGGUAGCGUAAAACCUCCAGUUCUUGUCCUUAUCACUGACGAUGAGGUCUCAGAACCACUCAAUGCAUCACUGGCCGUUGACUUCAUCGACACUUAUGAGGGGUUGGUUGGAAAAGGUGAUCCUGACUUCAAGUGGAUCCGACCAAAAAGUGAAUGGGAUCCGAUAGUGUUAAACUACACUUCGGGUACGACGUCGUCUCCUAAAGGAGUAGUUCAUUGCCACAGGGGCUGUUUUGUCAUCGCCGUUGACUCUCUGGUUGACUGGUCUGUACCAAAGCAACCGGUGUUCCUUUGGACCCUGCCCAUGUUUCACGCCAAUGGCUGGAGCUACCCAUGGGGCAUGGCAGCCGUGGGUGGGAUCAAUAUCUGUGUUCGAAAAUUUGAUGCACCCACUAUAUACCGUUUGAUCAGGGGACAUAGUGUCACUCACAUGUGUGGUGCACCUGUAGUGCUCAACAUGCUAUCAAAUUCCCUGGCCGACAAUCAAACUAAACUGGAAAACCCAGUGCACAUCCUCACCGCGGGAGCUCCACCACCGGCUUCUAUACUCUCCCGGACGGAAUCGUUGGGGUUCAUAGUAAGUCACGGUUAUGGGUUGACGGAAACCGGUGGAAUCGUUGUCUCAUGCGCUUGGAAACCACAGUGGAAUCUUUUCCCUGCAACAGAGAGAGCGAGGCUAAAAGCAAGGCAAGGAGUGAGAACCAUCGGAAUGACAGAGGUGGACGUGGUAGAUCCAGAGUCAGGAGUAAGCGUGAAAAGAGAUGGGUCAUCGCUAGGUGAAAUUGUGUUGAGAGGUGGGUGCCUCAUGUUGGGUUAUUUCAAAGACCCAGUUAGCACCUCAAAGUGUGUGACAGAGAAGGGUUGGUUCUACACCGGAGAUGUGGGAGUAAUGCACCCAGAUGGUUACUUAGAGAUAAAGGAUCGAUCCAAGGAUGUGAUCAUUAGUGGUGGAGAGAAUUUGAGCAGCGUGGAGGUGGAGUCUGUGCUAUACACGAACCCAAUGAUCAACGAGGCGGCAGUUGUGGCUAGACCAGAUGAGUUCUGGGGUGAGACACCGUGUGCAUUUGUGAGUUUGAAGAAGAAUAAUGGUGAUGCGAGUAAUCAGGAGGCAGCAACAGAGAAGUACAUAAUUGAAUAUUGCAGGGCUAGAUUGCCACAUUACAUGGUGCCUAAAACGGUGGUGGUGAAGGAAGAGCUACCAAAGACGUCGACCGGGAAGAUUAAGAAGUAUGAGCUAAGGGAAAUGGCGAAGGCCAUGGGGUCAUCAAGAAUCAGUCGCUUGUGAAGCUGCACUUCAUGGGGUGAGUACUGAGUUCACUUUGGGAAUUAGCUGAGUUGAUGUCUGCCUGCCCUAGCUCUUUCGAAUGGUAAUGGUAUGGUAACUUGGAGAGUAUAUUAAUGGGAUUUGUCUUUGUUAUUUUCUUGUAAAAUAGGCUUUGAACUUGUUACUUUUUUAAAUCUUG
rnacentral:misc_RNA from 1 species